rnacentral:rRNA from 1 species
UAAAAACUGUUGAAUUACACAAAGGUGUAAAACAAGUGAACAAACAUGUGACCAUACUUGCGAUUUCCCCCUUCCUUCCUUCUGCCGAAAACGUUUUCAAUACAACUAGGUAACACAUUAGACUAACAUGCAUGAUAUGAUAAAACUAU